AUUAAAUGGAGAGAGCCCAAAAGC
rnacentral:sRNA from 1 species